rnacentral:rRNA from 1 species
GCGUAAACGGCCGCGGUAUCUUGACCGUGCAAAGGUAGCAUAAUCAUUUGUCUUUUAAAUGGAGACUUGUAUGAAUGGCAAAACCUUUUUCAACUGUCUCCCCCUCUAACCUUACAAAUUUCUAUCUCCGUGAAGAAGCAGAGAUUUAAAAGAAAGACGAGAAGACCCUGUCGAGCUUCAGUUUUAAGGUGAACUACCUUAUCAUCCAAAAACUUUGGUUGGGGCAACCAUGGAGAAAAGAAAUCCUCCAGACCAAGUAGAAGAAAACAUUUCUCUAUUUAUCUUCAGAGAACCAGAAACUGGUAACCGGAAAAAGUUACCGCAGGGAUAACAGCGUCAUCUCCUCUAAGAGUCCUUAUUGACGAGGAGGUUUGCGACCUCUAUGUUGGAUUAGGGCAUCCCUUGGGUGCAGAAGCUCUAAACGGUUAGACUGUUCGUCUAUUAAAGCCCU